UACGUCUAGAAGCACUUCUGGGAGCGGCCUUUCUGGUAGUGGGAGCUCCAACUCUCGAGACUGUGGUAGCUGUUACAGUUCCGGUUCUAGGUCCUGUUCCUCCCGUAAGGAGGUCUGGUCGUCGCAGAGUAGAAGCGACCGUUCGUCGACCUCCUACCAGCGUGGGAGCGACUGAUGUUGUAGGCCUUCCUCAGGUGGGAGGUGGAACAGGAGACGGAAGCCCCUCCGUACGUCUAGAAACACUUCUGGGAGUGAUCGUUCUGGUAGUGGGAACUCCAACUCUCGAGGCUGUGGUAGCUGCUACAGUUCCGGUUCUCGGUCCUGUUCCUCCCGUAAGGAGGUCUGGUUGUUGCAGAGUAGAAACGACCGUUCGUCGACCUCCUACCGGCGUGGGAGCGACUGAUGUUGUAGGUCUUCCUCAGGUGGGAAGUGGAACAGGACGCAGAAGCACCACCGUACGUUUAGAAGCACUUCUGGGACUGCCCCUUCUGGUAGUGAGACCUCCAACUCUCGAGGCUGUGGUAGCUGUUGCAGUUCCGGUUCUAGGUCCUGUUCCUCCCGUAAGGGGGCCUGGUCGUCGCGGAAUAGAAACGACCGUUCGUCGACCUCCUACCGGCGUGGGAACGACUGAUGUUGUAGGUCUUCCUCAGGUGGGAGGUGGAACAGGACGCCGACGCACCACCGUACGUCUAGAAGCAGUUCUGGGAGUGACCG
rnacentral:rRNA from 1 species